rnacentral:lncRNA from 1 species
UUUAUAAAUAUUUUAAAGAACUUCCGUACGGUUUUAAAUAUGCGAGAGGUGGAAAAAAAAAGGAAUUAAUAAUGACGAUAACGACAAUACAGCAACAACGACGUGUAAAAUUAGUUUCGAUUAGACAAAAUGUUAAUCAGAUUGUAUCCGAAAACACACCAAACUCCGCCCACUUUAUCAUAAUUUUUCGAAUGUCGACCAUUAGCAGAUGUGGGCAAACAAAUAAUUUAUCAUUCCAGCCUCAAUCGAUGCCAUCGAUCUCCUUUCUCUCUCUCUUCUCAGUAAAAGUAUUAAAAACAUGCCCCAUGCCGCAUGCGCC